UUAGAAUUUCGAGAUUGUGAGGUA
rnacentral:siRNA from 1 species